rnacentral:rRNA from 1 species
AUUGAACGCUGGCGGCAGGCUUAACACAUGCAAGUCGAGCGGGGUGAUGGUGCUUGCACUAUCACUUAGCGGCGGACGGGUGAGUAAUGCUUAGGAAUCUGCCUAUUAGUGGGGGACAACAUCUCGAAAGGGAUGCUAAUACCGCAUACGUCCUACGGAUCAAAGCAGCAAUGCGCUAGAGGAGGGGCCUGCGGCUGAUUAGCUUGUUGGUAGGGUAAUGGCCUACCAAGGCGACGAUCAGUAGCUGGAUCGAGAGGUUGACCAGCCACACUGGGACUGAGAUACGGCCCAGACUCCUACGGGAGGCAGCAGUGGGGAAUAUUGGACAAUGGGGGGAACCCUGAUCCAGCCAUGCCGCGUGUGUGAAGAAGGCCUUAUGGUUGUAAAGCACUUUAAGCGAGGAGGAGGCUACUCUAGUUAAUACCUAGGGAUAGUGGACGUUACUCGCAGAAUAAGCACCGGCUAACUCUGUGCCAGCCGCCGCGGUAA